UAUCAGAACAGUACUUGAGGCAGGAGGAUUGCCAAUCUGGACUAGAGAUAGUGAUUACCGUCGCCGCCCCCCCACACACACACCCGGAGAAAGAAAAAGGCUAGGAAAUAGGACUGAGACAUCUUAAUGUGUUCCUUUUACAUCGUGAUUGAAGAGGGAGGGCUUCUGAAAAAAUAAGGAUGGAAUUAUAUGAGCUCCUUGGAGUAUUUAGAAAUCUAAAGAAAAAAAAGUUGUAUGGUUAUUAACCGACAAAAGGUAAAUAAUAAUAGUAACUGUUUUGGAAACAGAAGAUUGCCUUUCAUUCAAAAUAAAAAUUGAAAUUGUAAAAAUUCUAUUUGAACUGAAAAAGUAAUUCUCACCAACUAAAGUCUGAGGUACCAGUGUUCCUAGUAAGAUUAUUUUUACUAACCUCUAAAGCACUGACAUACUGAAGUUAUUAGUUACAUACUGAUAACACAGGAACUCAGAACUGUUUCCUUGCAUUUUUACCCGAGAUUCACAAGUUGAAAGCCACACAAAACUUGUAGUUGCCUUUUGUGUGUCAUGAAAAUUUAACCGUCCUACAUUUUUUUUUCUUGCAAUAGCUCUUCAAGUCUCCGAUUAAAUUUUAAAAAUGGCCUCCAAUAAAACUACAUUGCAAAAAAUGGGAAAGAAACAGAAUGGAAAGAGUAAAAAAGUUGAAGAGGCAGAGCCUGAAGAAUUUGUGGUAGAAAAAGUACUGGACCGUCGUGUAGUGAAUGGGAAGGUGGAGUAUUUCCUGAAGUGGAAGGGGUUCACAGAUGCUGAUAAUACUUGGGAACCAGAAGAAAAUUUAGAUUGUCCAGAAUUAAUUGAAGCAUUUCUUAAUUCUCAAAAAGCUGGUAAAGAAAAAGAUGGUACAAAAAGGAAAUCUUUAUCUGACAGUGAAUCUGAUGAUAGCAAAUCGAAGAAGAAGAGAGAUGCUGCUGACAAGCCCAGGGGCUUUGCCAGGGGCCUUGACCCUGAGCGAAUAAUCGGUGCCACAGACAGCAGUGGAGAGCUAAUGUUUCUCAUGAAAUGGAAGGACUCAGAUGAAGCUGACUUGGUGCUGGCAAAGGAGGCGAAUAUGAAGUGUCCUCAGAUUGUCAUCGCCUUCUAUGAGGAGAGGCUGACUUGGCAUUCUUGUCCCGAAGAUGAAGCACAAUAAUUGUUUGCAUUUAUAUAUAUAUAUUUAUAUAUAUAUAUAUAUAAUCUGGAUCUUGGG
rnacentral:lncRNA from 1 species